CAAACUUUUUCCAAAAUUUGGAAAAUUGGCUUGCGCGAGUAAUUCGGUUUUCAAAAAAUUUAAACUGAAUGUUGUGUAUAAGUUUAAUGAUGAAAAUAAAGGGAAACAACAAUCGAUCUAUUUAUUUUUGAUAACGGCAAGUAAUGGUUUAAUUUUUUCAAUCCGAUUAAAUCCGGAUUAUUUUUUCAAGCGUAGUUUACACCAAGUUGCAAUGGCGGCUUCCAUGCGUUAUUGGAAACGAGGAGAAAUUUCGUGUCUCAUGGUUGUAAUACAACACAUUCUGAAUGAAUUUGGAAGAAAUACGAGACUGUCGAUGCAAACGACAUGGUAUAUUUCAUAGUUGUGCGAAUGACUUCAAUAAUGAUGAGAAUAUUCGAGAAAACGAAGAGCUUUGUAAUUCGAGACUGUGCUCAAUUAAAGCUGUGGAAUUUCUGUGAUGGCAGUGCUGACUGCUGAGGAAACAUUGAUGUGGUAAAUGGUAAAGUUUAAAUACUGUAUAAGAUGACAAUUUCUGUAAAUGAAUAACAUGUUUCCAUUGUUAUGAUAACCAUUUAGACCAUGAGUUCUCCCAUUUAAUUAGCAUAGGCCAGAAGAGUUAGAACACAUCAUAAUAAUGAAUUCUACAAAAAAAUAGGCCUAAUGAUCUCAUUCUAGCAUAUAAACUCUUAAAAUUAUAGAAAGUCAUUGUUAUUAUUCAACUAGGUUAUACAAGUAGACCAUAUGUUACAUGUACAACACUGUGUACAUGCAGAUCCCAUGUACAUGUAUCUAUACAAGCUACAAAUUUUGAAAAUCCAAAUAUUUCAUACUGAGGAAGUGAAAAUGAAGAAUACUAUUGUAAUAGAGAAGUAAAUAAAAGUUUGAUUUUAACAGGAAAGGGAGAAAACAAUAAGGACAACACUAGGAUAUGACUUAAAUGUCAUACUAGGCUUAAUUCCUGAAAUAUAGGACUGUGGUGCUCUAUCGAUACACUUUUCUGACCACUGUGACAGAUCCUGCCUGAUUAUCACAAGACUGAUUUUUGAAGGACCUUUCUACCUAAACACAAAUGGAUGAAAGUCAGCAUCACUGUUUCAAACACUCAACACCCUACCAUCAAAGUGGAUAUGAUAUUCAAAGACAAAAACAGUGGAUAUGAUCUUCAGAGACAAAAUGAGCCCCCAAAAGAAGUCACUCCUGUUGAACUGGGAAAAUUUGUUCACAUAUAUCAUUGUUUUACACAUGAAUAUUUUUAAGUACAAGUAAAUAUUCAACAUAUUUUUUCUUUUAAUUUGAAAAAAAAAAUGUAGAGGCAAAUGAUAAAAUGAUCACAUCAGUGUU